UCAAGGCAGCUGAAGAUUGCAGUGCUGUAAGGGAUGUCAAGGACAAAACCUGUACAUCUGUGGAAUGGUGCGGGGCAAGGCGGGAAACGGAAAGCCUCCGCAGAAGCUGAUGCCAGUGGCCUUC